rnacentral:rRNA from 1 species
GAUGAACGCUUGCGGCGUGCCUAAUACAUGCAAGUCGAGCGAACAGACGAGGAGCUUGCUCCUCUGACGUUAGCGGCGGACGGGUGAGUAACACGUGGAUAACCUACCUAUAAGACUGGGAUAACUUCGGGAAACCGGAGCUAAUACCGGAUAAUAUAUUGAACCGCAUGGUUCAAUAGUGAAAGACGGUUUUGCUGUCACUUAUAGAUGGAUCCGCGCCGCAUUAGCUAGUUGGUAAGGUAACGGCUUACCAAGGCAACGAUGCGUAGCCGACCUGAGAGGGUGAUCGGCCACACUGGAACUGAGACACGGUCCAGACUCCUACGGGAGGCAGCAGUAGGGAAUCUUCCGCAAUGGGCGAAAGCUUGACGGAGCAACGCCGCGUGAGUGAUGAAGGUCUUCGGAUCGUAAAACUCUGUUAUUAGGGAAGAACAAAUGUGUAAGUAACUAUGCACGUCUUGACGGUACCUAAUCAGAAAGCCACGGCCAACUACGUG